UAAUUGAAGAGUUUGAUCAUGGCUCAGAUUGAACGCUGGCGGCAGGCCUAACACAUGCAAGUCGAGCGGCAGCACAGAGAAACUU
rnacentral:rRNA from 1 species